CUUUCCACUAUAUAUCAAUCUAUCUAUCAAUCUAUCUGCCAAACCACAUUACAAUACAAUGUCGACUUCGUCCUCCUCGUCCCUUUACAUUUCCCCAAACCCUAAUUUCAACACUACCCCUCCCAAUCCCAACAUUCCUUCUUCCACCCACCGGAGAAACGACUCCGGCGAGCUCGACGUCUUCGAGGCUGCCCGCUACUUCUCCGCCCAAGAAACCCUCCAUCGUCUCCACAGCUCCGCCCGAAUGAGCCUCGACGUCCCCAUCUUCACAAACCCUAUUCAUCCACCUGGAACACUCACCGCCACCACCACCACCACCGCCGCCGCCGGGGGGAUCAGUAUCGAUCACAUCAAAAAAGAGAAUAAUGUUUACAGCGCCGCCAAAUUCAAGCAGCCAAGCUCGCCGGGAGCCCGCCUCGCCAGCUUCCUCAACUCCCUCUUCAGCCAGACCUCUUCCAAAAAGAAGAAGAAAUCAAAGUCCGGCAAGGACGCCGCCGCCGCCGACGAUGACGCCGCCUCCUCCGCCAGAAGGAAACGCCGCAGCAGCAUCAGCCAUUUUGGGAUCUCCCGGAACCCUAAUUCCUCCGCCGCCGUGACUCCCACCAAAUCGUACAAGGAGAUCCGGGACCUGGCCGAUCUCAGCAAGGCGCCGGUGCCGGCUCAAAUUCCGGCGGCCGGAAUGUUUAAGACUGGGAAGAAGACGACGGAUCAUAAAUCCAGGCUCAGCAACGUUGGUAGCAUGCCCAGUUUCGGCCAUGGAAGUAACUUAGGGUUUUCUGACAGAAAUUCCACGGCGGAAACGGAGUUCAGGAAAUUCAGCGAAGCCGACGACGGCGACGGCGGCGCAGACACUGAUUCGAGUUCGGACCUCUUCGAUUUGCCUAAUCAUGAACUGGAUUUCUUCUCCAAUGGCCUACCUGUCUAUGGAACGACGAACAUGGACAGAAUCAGGAUUGUUGCUCCAAUUUCCAGCACUGCAACAGCAUAGUUCUUUAAUUAAUUAAUUAAUUACACAUUUUCAAUUAAUAAUCAGAUAAAUAUAUGUAUCUAUAUGUAUAUAUUUAUUUGUGUUUCUUGAUCAUGCUUGGAAUGGAAUCGUGGAGAGAAUGAUUGAUUUUUGUGACAAAAUCAGGCCAAGGGAUUCUACUUUUUUUUCUUCAACUUUUUUCCCUCUUUUAAAAUCACUACUUUUCUUCUCUUUAUCUACAGUUUCCAUUACUUUUUAUUCUUUUUCUUUAAUGAUGAUCAGAUCUUCAAUGAUAUUUCUAAGCAAUUAUGAUUUUGACUGUUUACAUUUGAAAAUAUUAUUGCAGAUUUGACAAACCAUUUUCUUCUUCCUAAAAUCUUAAUUCACAUGAUUAUUUCUUAUUGGGCUCAUAUAAUUGGGCCGCAUUCAAUUAAUCUUCCAUAGGCCCAUUUUAGAAUCUGACACAAUAGGCAUCUGUUUCAGGUCUGAGUCCGACCCAAUUUUGGAAUACAGAGCGGACCCGAAUCCAAAUUCGAAAAUCCAUACCCGUAUAGGAGGACGGCGGAUCGUCGUCUCCAUCGCCAUCGUCGUCGUCGUCAUCGAGCUUUGCCUGUUGUUUUCCUGCGGGUGUGAAUGGUGGGAAACGAAGCAGCCUCGUGGUGCAAUAUCGGUUUCAAUCCCUCAAUAUAAUACUCAAUUGCCACAUCCACAACAGCACACGAUUACACUAUUGGAUUAACAAAUAAUAUCUCUCUCCUUAUCGCCAUACUGUUCAUAGGGUAAGCACUGACGUCGCUUCCUGCUGCUGACGAAACAGUUCAAAUCGGAAGAGAAAAAGAAAGAACCAUUUCUUUUCUUCCCCAAAUUGGUGAGAAUCUCUAAACCCUAAUUGCUUGCUUGUUGUACCUCCUCCUUGCUAAUCUCGUGCUCUUAAAUUUCUGUAAUGUUCCA